rnacentral:lncRNA from 1 species
GACCAUAUUUGUCAAAUAAAAACGAAAGUGCUAUAGUGUCAAAAUACAAAAAGUUUUUAGAUCUAAACAAGCCCUAGUCGGCGUGGCGACCUUCCUCGACGGCUCGAGGCAGCAGCCAUGGCUCGCACGUGGGUGCAGGCGCGAUGUGUCAGCCGUGCCCCUGCGCGGACGCAAGCGCACCUCAGAGCAAAGAUUAUAAAGAUUAUAGUGGGUUGUAAUGCAAAACCCUUGAAGAUGAGGGUUUUGCAUUUGAGGUUUGCAUUUGAGUAAUUUGCUAAAAAGCUUUAAAAGAGGUAUCCAACGGUUUUGCAUUUGGAGUUUGCAAUUUGGACAACUUGGCAAAUGAGAGAGCAAACUUGGUAAAAAUGUCAAGCUAUGGACGACUUUGCAAACCCAAUCGCUCAAGCAAAGUCACGCGCGAGAAAAGCGCGCGCGCCUGGAGACCUUCUAUUUUUAUCCUUUGCCAAGUCCAAAUGCCAAUUUCUUUGGAGAUGAUCUAUUUUUAUCCUUUGCAUUUUGUUAUAGGAGUUUGCAAAUAGCAACAAAUGCCAAGUCAAUUUGCCAAAGCCUUUGGAGAUGCUCUUAAAGCUGGCUAAAUAUUGAGAUGAAGAAGAAAAGAGAGGAGAAAGAAGAGAAACAGGCUAUAAGGUUAUAAACAGCUUAGACACAGGAACAAAAAAAACUUUGUGAGAAAUAUAAGUGAGACCAUAUAUUUAUAGUGAAUAACUAACUAUUAUAUGAGUAGACUAAAAUAAAGUAAUAAAAAACCUUACAGCCAAUAAAUAGAAUGUAUUAUUAAACUUGCUCUCAACUCCUCGCCGCCACCAUGCCUCGAUUCCAGCACCUCGACACUGGCGACCUCUCCAUGAUGUCUAUGGCAACAACAUGAAAGAGGAUCACAUGUGCGUCCCACGUGUCAUUCUCUACUAGCAUGGGUUUGAGAGGUCUAUUUUAGGUAGGCCUUGUUUAGUUCCUUUCCGAAAUUUUUUCGGUACAUUGUAGCAAUUUCGUUUGUUUGUGAUAAUUAUUGUCCAAUCAUGAACUAACUAGACUCAAAAAAUUCGUUUCGUAAAUUUCGAUCAAACUGUGCAAUUAGUUUUUAUUUUCGUUUAUAUUUAAUACUCUAUGCAUGCGUCUAAAGAUUCGAUGUGACGGAGAAUCUUGAAAAGUUUUUGGAUUUUGGGUGGAAGUAAACAAGGCCUUAGUUCACCCAAAAAACUAAAAACUUUUCAAGAUUCUCCAUCACAUCGAAUCUUGUGGCACAUGCAUGGAGUAUUAAAUAUAGAUAAAAAUAAAAACUAAUUACUCCCUCCAUAUAAAAAAGAAAGUCGUUUUAGGACAGAAUUUAGCAUACCAAGGAGAGAUUAAUUAGGAUGAAGUUUUUCCUGUUUUUCUCUAAUAAAUACAGCUUCACGUGCAUUCUUUUUAAGAAAGUUUCGUAGACCAACUGGCUAGCGACGACGUUUUUUCCGUAAUCCUGUUCCGAGGCAGAACGACGUUCUUUUUUUAUAUGGAGGGAGUAUGUAAAUUACUCAAUGAAUCUUUUAAGCCUAAUUACUUCAUAAUUAGACGAUAUUUGUCAAAUGAAAACAAAAACGCUACCGUGUCAAAAUCUAAUAACUUUUUGAUCUAAAUAAGGCUCUAGUUUCUCUAGAGAAAAAAUAAAAGAGUAGUAUUCACAUGGGUGGUUACCUAAACAGUAGAGGAGUGAUUUAAAAAAAUAGCAGAGGAUCGGUCUGGGAUUGCAUUGGAGGAGAUGCUGAUGGUGGAGGGGAGCUUGGCAGACAGCUAGAUACUCCAUACCUAUACUUCUAGGGCCUAGUUCAUCAAAAACCAAAAACUUUUCAAAAGUUCUCGUCACAUCAAAUCUUGCGGUAUAUGUAUAGAACAUUAAAUAUAGAUAAACAUAAAAACUAAUUAUAACUGUCCGUAAAUCGCGAGAUGAAUCUUUUAAGUCUAGUUAUUCUAUGAUUGGACAAUGUUUGUUAAAUAAAAAAUGGUACAGUAUCGAAAUCUAAAAUUUUUUCGGAUCUAAACAAGGCCUUGUUUAGUUCCCAAAAUAUUUUGUAAAAUUUUUCAUAUCAAAUUUUGAAGCACAUGCAUAAAGCUAAAUAUAGAUAAAAGAAAUAACUAAUUACAUAAUUUACCUGUAAUUUGCGGGACAAAUCUUUUGAAUCUAAUUAAUCUAUGAUGGAUAAUAUUUAUCAAAUAUAAACGAAUACUACUAUUUUUAUUUUGCAAAUUUUUUGAAAGUAAACAAAUGGCCUCCAAAAUCUUCACAUAACGCGCGCGCUGUGCACAACGUCGUCACGUACAGAAACGAUGCCGGGGAGGAGGAAGAAGAAGAACAGUGCACCGGCAAGGUUAGGGUUUGGGGUGUAGCUUGGGUACCUCCAAUGAACUCCGGGCUUAGAAGAGAAGGCCUUGGGGCGGCGGUUGGACGGGCGGUGUGAGACAACCAGUUGGCUUGACCAGUUGACCGCUUGAGCCGGCGAUGGGGGCGAGGACCGAGAGGAACAAGAUUUUUUUUCCUCCUAUAUAGGGAUUAGGUGAGGGCGGGGGUGGGCGGCGCAACGAUUCCGAUUCAGAUUAGGGGAAGGCGGGCUGGAGCGACGGAGGUGGUUGGCUGGCGGCGCGGCCAGCGGCGAGGGCGCCGCUGGCUGGGGGCGGCAGCGGGGGAGCAGAAUGGCUCCACAAAGAGGAAGAAUAGAGGAAGAACAGGGAAGAAGAAAGAACCCGUGCGCUGAU